CAGCCGCCACGGGAAUACGGAGGGUGCAAGCGUUAUCCGGAUUUAUUGGGUUUAAAGGGUCCGUAGGCGGAUCUGUAAGUCAGUGGUGAAAUCUCACAGCUUAACUGUGAAACUGCCAUUGAUACUGCAGGUCUUGAGUAAAUUUGAAGUGGCUGGAAUAAGUAGUGUAGCGGUGAAAUGCAUAGAUAUUACUUAGAACACCAAUUGCGAAGGCAGGUCACUAAGAUUUAACUGACGCUGAUGUACGAAAGCGUGGGGAGCGAACAGGAUUAGAUACCCCCGUAGUCCCUGUCUCUUAUAC
rnacentral:rRNA from 1 species